GCCUGAGUAGCUCAGUCGGUUAAGCAUCCAAUGCUUGGUUUCACCUCAGGUCAUGAUCUCACGGGUUCGUGGGUUCGAGUCCCGCAUCAGGCU
rnacentral:tRNA from 1 species